rnacentral:misc_RNA from 1 species
UUAAGUUCAGCGGGUAUCCCUACCUGAUCCGAGGUCAAAACGGAGAUGCAAUUGACGUGUGCGGCAGCCCUGCGGACCGGCCCUUGUGCGAACAAUCUGCUACGCGCAAGACCAGCCGCCGGACGCCGAUGCUUUUCAGGCGAGUCCCGCCGCGGAGCGCGGGGAACAGGCGCCCAUCACCAAGCUGUGCUUGAGAGGUG